rnacentral:rRNA from 1 species
UGGGGAAUAUUGGACAAUGGGCGCAAGCCUGAUCCAGCCAUGCCGCGUGAGUGACGAAGGUCUUCGGAUUGUAAAACUCUUUUUGGCGGGGACGAUAAUGACGGUACCCGCAGAAUAAGCCCCGGCUAACUUCGUGCCAGCAGCCGCGGUAAUACGAAGGGGGCUAGCGUUGUUCGGAAUCACUGGGCGUAAAGCGCACGUAGGCGGAUGUGCCAGUCAGGGGUGAAAUCCCGGAGCCCAACUCCGGAACUGCCUCUGAUACUGCACGUCUUGAGUUCGAGAGAGGUGGGUGGAAUUCCUAGUGUAGAGGUGAAAAUUCGUAGAUAUUAGGAAGAACACCAGUGGCGAAGGCGGCCAACUGGCUCGAUACUGACGCUGAGGUGCGAAAGCGUGGGGAGCAAACAGGAUUAGAUACCCCAGUAGUCCCUGAGCGGGCUGGCAAGGCGCAU